rnacentral:rRNA from 1 species
CGGGUUGCAGCAGUGGGGAAUAUUGGACAAUGGGGGGAACCCUGAUCCAGCAAUGCCGCGUGUGUGAAGAAGGCCUGAGGGUUGUAAAGCACUUUCAGUGGGGAGGAGGAUUAUUAGGUUAAGAGCUAGAUAAUUGGACGUUACCCACAGAAGAAGCACCGGCUAACUCCGUGCCAGCAGCCGCGGUAAUACGGAGGGUGCGAGCGUUAAUCGGAAUUACUGGGCGUAAAGGGUGCGUAGGUGGUUGUAUAAGUUAUCUGUGAAAUCCCUGGGCUUAACCUGGGCAGGUCAGAUAAGACUGUAUGACUCGAGUAUGGGAGAGGGUAGUGGAAUUUCCGGUGUAGCGGUGAAAUGCGUAGAGAUCGGAAGGAACACCAGUGGCGAAGGCGGCUACCUGGCCUAAUACUGACACUGAGGCACGAAAGCGUGGGGAGCAAACAGGAUUAGAUACCCUGGU